CCUACGGGAGGCACCAGUGGGGAAUAUUGCACAAUGGGCGCAAGCCUGAUGCAGCCAUGCCGCGUGUGUGAAGAAGGCCUUCGGGUUGUAAAGCAUUUUCAGCGGGGAGGAAGGCGAUAAGGUUAAUAACCUUGUCGAUUGACGUUACCCGCAGAAGAAGCACCGGCUAACUCCGUGCCAGCAGCCGCGGUAAUACGGAGGGUGCUAGCGUUAAUCGGAAUUACUGGGCGUAAAGCGCACGCAGGCGGUCUGUCAAGUCGGAUGUGAAAUCCCCGGGCUCAACCUGGGAACUGCAUUCGAAACUGGCAGGCUAGAGUCUUGUAGGGGGGGUAGGAUUCCAGGUGUAGCGGUGAAAUGCGUAGAGAUCUGGAGGAGUACCGGUGGCGAAGGCGGCCCCCUGGACAAAGACUGACGCUCAGGUGCGAAAGCGUGGGGAGCAAACAGGAUUAGAUACCCGUGUAGUC
rnacentral:rRNA from 1 species